UCCCAUAUCCUCACCUGGCUGAGCCGCAGUAGUUCUUCAGUGGCAAGCUUUAUGUCCUGACCCAGCUAAAGCUGCCAGUUGAAGAACUGUUGCCCUCUGCCCCUCACUUCGAGGAGGAAG
rnacentral:pre_miRNA from 15 species